rnacentral:rRNA from 1 species
CAGCCGCCGCGGGAAUACGAAGGGUGCAAGCGUUACUCGGAAUUACUGGGCGUAAAGCGUGCGUAGGUGGUGGUUUAAGUCCGUUGUGAAAGCCCUGGGCUCAACCUGGGAAUUGCAGUGGAUACUGGGUCACUAGAGUGUGGUAGAGGAUAGUGGAAUUUCCGGUGUAGCAGUGAAAUGCGUAGAGAUCGGAAGGAACAUCUGUGGCGAUGGCGACUAUCUGGGCCAACACUGACACUGAGGCACGAAAGCGUGGGGAGCAAACAGGAUUAGAUACCCGGGUAGUCCCUGGUCUCUUAUA